rnacentral:rRNA from 1 species
GAUGAACGCUGGCGGCGUGCCUAAUACAUGCAAGUCGAGCGAACGGACGAGAAGCUUGCUUCUCUGAUGUUAGCGGCGGACGGGUGAGUAACACGUGGAUAACCUACCUAUAAGACUGGGAUAACUUCGGGAAACCGGAGCUAAUACCGGAUAAUAUUUUGAACCGCAUGGUUCAAAAGUGAAAGACGGUUUUGCUGUCACUUAUAGAUGGAUCCGCGCUGCAUUAGCUAGUUGGUAAGGUAACGGCUUACCAAGGCAACGAUGCAUAGCCGACCUGAGAGGGGGAUCGGCACAACGGAAACUAAGACACGUCCCAGACUCCUACGGGAGGCAGCGGGAGGGAUUCUUCCGCAAGGGGCGAAAGCCUGACGAAGCAACGCCGCGGGAGUGAGAAAGGUCUUCGGAUCGUAAAACUCUGUUAUUAGGGAAGAACAUAUGUGUAAGUAACAGUGCACAUCUGAACGGAACCUAAUCAGAAAGCCACGGCUAACUACGG